AGGAGGAGACGUUAAAAUCACCCUGGCCAUGUGGGGCUUUUUAAACAGUGCAGUUGCUUGAGCUAGAGAGUUCUGGGCUAUAGUGUGCUAUGCCAAUUGGGUAUCUGCAUCAAUAUGGGGAUUCCCCCCACUACCACCAAAAGCAGGGGACCACCAGGUUGCCUAAGGAGGAGUGAACUGGCCCAGGUCAGAAAUGGAGCAGGUCAAAACUCCUGCACUGUUCAGUAGUGGGAUUUCACCUGUGACUAGCCACUGCAUUCCAGCCUGGGCAACAUAGUGAGACCCUGUCUCAA
ensembl:misc_RNA Metazoa_SRP Metazoan signal recognition particle RNA